rnacentral:rRNA from 1 species
UGGGGGAUAUUGCACAAUGGGCGAAAGCCUGAUGCAGCGACGCCGCGUGGGGGAUGAAGGCUUUCGGGUUGUAAACCUCUUUCGCUAUCGAACAAGGCCCGCUUAGGGUGGGUUGAGGGUAGGUGGAGAAGAAGCGCCGGCUAACUACGUGCCAGCAGCCGCGGUAAUACGUAGGGCGCGAGCGUUGUCCGGAAUUAUUGGGCGUAAAGGGCUUGUAGGCGGCUUGUUUCGCCUGCUGUGAAAACGCGGGGCUUAACUUCGCGAGUGCAGUGGGUACGGGCAGGCUUGAGUGUGGUAGGGGUGACGGGAAUUCCAGGUGUAGCGGUGGAAUGCGCAGAUAUCUGGAGGAACACCGAUGGCGAAGGCAGGUCACUGGGCCAUUACUGACGCUGAGGAGCGAAAGGAUGGGUAGCGAACAGG